UGGGCUUAAGGGUGCGUAGGCGGGCCCGCAAGUGCUUUGUGAAAUCCCCUGGCUCAACCAGGGAACAGCGGGGCAUACUGCGGGUCUUGAGGAAGGUAGGGGCCGCCAGAACUGUAGGUGGAGCGGUGAAAUGCGUAGAUAUCUACAGGAAUGCCGAUGGUGAAGACGGGCGGCUGGGCCUUUCCUGACGCUGAGGCACGAAAGCGUGGGGAGCAAACAGGAUUAGAUACCCUGGUAGUCCACGCCGUAAACGAUGCACGCUAGAUCGGUGCCGCUCUCACGCGGGAUCGGUCGUAGUAAAAACGAUAAGCGUGCCGCCUGGGGAGUACGGUCGCAAGGCUAAAACUCAAAGGAAUUGACGGGGGCUCACACAAGCGGUGGAGCAUGUUGCUUAAUUCGAGGCAACGCGAAGAACCUUACCUGGGUUUGACAUGCACGGAUUAACCCCAUGAAAGUGGGGCCACGCCCGCAAGGGUGGAACGUGCACAGGUGCUGCAUGGCUGUCGUCAGCUCGUGCUGUGAAGUGUCGGGUUAAGUCCUCUAACGAGCGCAACCCCUGUCGUCAGUUGCUCACGCGUCAUGGCGAGUACUCUGGCGAGACUGCCGGCGUCAAGCCGGAGGAAGGCGGG
rnacentral:rRNA from 1 species